GCUCCCUUGUGAGUUGAUUAUCUAGGGGCUUCUGUCACAGUGAGGGGAGCUGCCACAGCAAGACUGGUAUCUCUGCUCCAAUAAACCUCUCAAGAUACUUACAGUGGAAAUAUUCUGGGAGGAGUUAGAUAAAUCGCUUUUAUCUGCAGCCUUGCCUCCUCUGCCAGCUAAAACAAUGUCACAUGCUUUUAUGUGACAUGAAACCUUCACAAAACAGACUCUUAAAGACAGUUUACAGAAUGGCCGCUUGAAUUAAUAGGAUGGAAAUGAUAGAACCAAGAACAGAAUAAGGAAGUGUUUCGGGGGAAAAAUCUCACAGCCCUGGGAGAAAAUUGGGGCUGUUGCUGUUUGAAGAUUUGAAUGCUCACAAGGCCACAGGACAUGAAAACCUAUUGGGUUACAGGACAGCAGAAAUGAUGCUGAAGUUUUUUGAGGUCAAAGAUCUUGCCUACAUUGUCUAAUCUUCCACUGGUCACAUCUGGACUGAAAUCAAGCUCCUGCCUGACUCCUCCUGAUGUGUAAGCCCCUAGAAUGAGAAUCACUGUGCUGUGUUUGCUGGCUGCUGUCUGGCUCGGGAAAGGAAA